CCAGACUCCUACGGGAGGCAGCAGUGGGGAAUAUUGCACAAUGGGGGAAACCCUGAUGCAGCGACGCCGCGUGAGUGAAGAAGUAUUUCGGUAUGUAAAGCUCUAUCAGCAGGGAAGAAGAUGACGGUACCUGAUUAAGAAGCCCCGGCUAACUACGUGCCAGCAGCCGCGGUAAUACGGAGGAUGCGAGCGUUAUCCGGAUUUAUUGGGUUUAAAGGGUGCGUAGGCGGGCUUUUAAGUCAGCGGUAAAAAUUCGGGGCUCAACCCCGUCCGGCCGUUGAAACUGGGGGCCUUGAGUGGGCGAGAAGAAGGCGGAAUGCGUGGUGUAGCGGUGAAAUGCAUAGAUAUCACGCAGAACUCCGAUUGCGAAGGCAGCGCGCCGGCGCCCUACUGACGCUCAGGCACGAAAGCGUGGGUAUCGAACAGGAUUAGAUACCCGCGUACU
rnacentral:rRNA from 1 species